ensembl:lncRNA
CUUACGUAAACUGUGUCAUUUUGCUGUCAGGUAGGCGUGGGUGUGCACUGUGCUGCUUCUGAAAACAUCAUCACACCUCCGAUGUCAUAUCCGACUGUUUAACCUCCCUCCCAUCACCUCAUGUUCCAGCCAGAGGAGCAGUCACCACUAAAGCACGACAUCAUCGGACUUCAGCUCACAGCGCGGUUCUGAACGCUACACACUCUGACCUCAUGGGAGAAAACGGGCGAACCCUGGAGAGGUUGUAAUCUGAGGGAUUUUCUAAACUUCAUGGAAAUUAAGCAAGGGGAGACUGGGAGAGGAAGGGAUAGGCAGUAGGUGUGUGUGUGAGCUGUAGGUUCUCGUGCAGUAGGUGUGUGUGUGAGCUGUCUGUUCUCUUGAGGUAGGUGUGUGUGUGGUGUGUGUGUGUGAGCGUCGGUUCUCGAGCAGUAGGUGUGUGGUGUGUGUGUGUGUGUGUGAGCUGUCGGUUCUUGUAGAAGGCAUUAAUGUUUCGUCUCUGGCUUAGUAUUUGCAUAUCUUCACAGAAGCUCAUCUGCAUAUCAGUCUUAUUUCCUCCCUUUCCUCCAUGUGGGAGCAUGAAUAUUAAUACGGACACAAAGAACACUUUAUUCGUUUUACUUUUAUCAACAGUUGGAUGAUAAUAAUAGCUCAACAUGAAACAAAUUAUAUAUAGUUUGAAUAUAAAGGACCGGGGAGGGGUUGUAUAAGAGGAGAAUGCAGAAACAAUUCACUGAUUUAGUGUCUAGAUAAAGAGAGAAACUCCUUCAGUACUAACACACCAUGGAUUCAUUAUUUAUUUUUUUGCAGCAUAUUGGUGGUUCAAAAUAUGUCUAACCCAUCUGCUCCUGAAU